AUUGAACGCUGGCGGCGCGCCUAACACAUGCAAGUCGAGCGAUAACCAGUCCUUCGGGACUGGGGACAGCGGCGAACGGGUGAGUAACACGUGGGUAAUCUACCCUCGGUUUCGGGAUAGCCCGGGGAAACCCGGAUUAAUACCGAAUGGCCUCUCAGGCUCUCGGGCUUGAGAGAAAAGGUAGCUUCGGCCUCUGACCGAGGAUGAGCCCGCGGCCGAUUAGCUAGUUGGUGAGGUAAAGGCUCACCAAGGCGACGAUCCAUAGCUGGUUUGAGAGAACGACCAGCCACACUGGGACUGAGACACGGCCCAGACUCCUACGGGAGGCAGCAGUGGGGAAUCUUGGACAAUGGAGGAAACUCUGAUCCAGCCAUGCCGCGUGAGUGAUGAAGG
rnacentral:rRNA from 1 species